CCAUUUUGUUUCCACUAUUUUGCUUAAAUAUGAUUGGUUGCCUUUGGUUAGAUUGAUGUUGUGGUUUUAUCACAGUAGUCUCUAAAUGCCCCACUGUACCUGAAUAGAUGAUUCUCUGUAAAUCUGUAACAGUUUCAUGGUUAAUUAGCUCUAGCUGCAGUUACAAUCUAAUUUCCCUACAUACAUACUAGUCAUUUUAUUUUUGGUUCUGUUAAUUUAAAGUAGAGUAUUUACCGCUUCUCAAUCUAAACAAGAUAGAUAUUAAUUGUGUGAAUCUUCUGUAUAUAAGAUUGGCCUUGAAGAUUUGGUUUUUCCUCUGCAUUUAGUAUAGUGUCUUACAUAAGAUACUAACUGUGUGAAGCUUUGUAACACAUCUAUCAAUCAAUACCUUUUUUGUAACUCUUUAGUUUGGUAUCUGAUUUUCGCACAGUUCCUGUACUGAUACUUUCAGAAAUACUGCGUUUUGUGUCUAAAAACUUUUAAAUUCAACUUCUACUUUAUCUCGUCAAGUUCUUGCUCCGACAAGUAGAAACAUUUGAGACAUGCAUAUCAGAGGUUGCAUUUUGUAUGAUUUGCUCUAUUUGCAUAUGGCGUUUCCUGCCCUUUGUGCAUUAAUGGGACUACAUAAUGGACUGCCUAUGCUUUUCAUAAAGUGCUUUUGUUUGGCCAGAUUACAACUUGAGGGUUGGGAAUAGGAAUUGUGGACUUGAUUUGGAAAUUAAUAUUCUCAUAUGAAUUGAAAAACUGAAAUCUACAGUCCAAAAUGAGCCGUUGUUAUUUUUUUAAGAAACUUUUGUUUUCUUCAACCUCGGCAGUGGGAAUGCUUUUUAUUUUCUGGUAUAAAACUGGUUUUAAGUCAGAUUCUUGGUCGGACUGGAAUCCAUACCUGGAAGGUUUCAAAAUCAGUGUGCCAUGAACAUGACUGAUCCUAAAAAUUGGCAGGAAAGGUUUGUUGAAGGGACAUAAUUUGAUACUGUAGGGGACUCAAUUGUUGGAAUGCAAUUACAGUUUUAAUCAUUUUAUUUAGGUUUAAAUGCUGAAAUCUGAAAUCUGAAAUGUACCCUGACUUCUGUGCAAAAUGCAAACUCCCUGUUCUUUUCCCUUCUCAGUUAAAUCCAGUGUUUUCCGUCCAUUUCCGUUACGUUAGUAAUUAGUACUUAUAUGUAUUCAAGAUAAAAUUAAAAUAUUAAUUUUUUUUUUAAUGUGAAAGAUAGUGAAUAAUUAAAAUGUGACUCAUGCAUAUUCUGACUUUUGCCUUUUGACAGUACUAGCUUUUAUCACUUCAAAUCCCAGCUGAAAAGAAGAGGCACAAACUGACUGAAAAGGGUUUCCUGCAGAGAGUUGGAAUUCAGUACCAUCGGAAGAAUCGUAAUUAUAAAAGAAAUAGAUGCUGCUGUUGAACUUAUUUAAGCAGAGAGAGCCCAGAGAGGUGAUAUGCCUGUGGCAACUUAAAACUGCCAUUACCUGAUGAAUAAAAGUUUCUGGAAGGCCAUGGGACUUUCUAGUCUGUGAAUCUUCUUAGGUUAAACUUGUGGUGAAAUUACUACAUGAUUCUGGUCUGUCUAAAGAGGGUCUACACUAAUUUAUUGAUAUGAUAUCCUUACUAGAGAGACUGUUUUUAGCAAAUUUACUAGAGACGGACUAGGUUCUCUGUAGAUUGUGGAUGGCUGUACUUAAAAUUGCUGUUGAAGAGUCUGUACAUAAAUACCGUAAGCAUUAAAAAAAAAACCACAGCAGUUAAAUGGAGCCCUGUGGCAUUUUGUCAAGCCAGUGCUGUUUCUAAUUGAGUGUGUACAACCCUUCUUCAGUUACCAUUUAAUGACUAAAGCCAUGGGAGGCCUCCCUGCUAUAGUCUUGCACCCACAGUAAAUCCAAUUUGGAUACAUCAUCAUCUCUACAUGGAUACAAGUCCUGAGCCGAGUCCAGCGUAGCUUUGUAAUUGUUUAUUUGCCUUUGCGAACAAGAUAAUCCAGGCAUAUAUAUCUAGAAAUUCAUGGUUGGCUUUCUGAUCGCUA